CAGCAGCCGCGGUAAUACAGAGGGUGCGAGCGUUAAUCGGAUUUACUGGGCGUAAAGCGUGCGUAGGCGGCUAAUUGAGUCGGAUGUGAAAUCCCCGAGCUUAACUUGGGAAUUGCAUUCGAUACUGGUUAGCUAGAGUGUGGGAGAGGAUGGUAGAAUUCCAGGUGUAGCGGUGAAAUGCGUAGAGAUCUGGAGGAAUACCGAUGGCGAAGGCAGCCAUCUGGCCUAACACUGACGCUGAGGUACGAAAGCAUGGGGAGCAAACAGGAUUAGAUACCCGUGUAGUCCCUGUCUCUUAUAC
rnacentral:rRNA from 1 species